rnacentral:pre_miRNA from 1 species
UUUUAUGGAUAAGCAAAGAAAGUGGUUUCUUGAGAUACAAUCUUCUCCUAGUGAAGAUGCUGUGAA